rfam:Aspergillus ruber CBS 135680 unplaced genomic scaffold scaffold00037, whole genome shotgun sequence.
GAUCUGUCAUGGAUAACCUAGUGGGAGGUUCGCUGCUAAGCACGUGACCUUGCUUCGGCUUCGGCCAGCGAGACUGGUGCCUGGUACGAAUCCCGGGGUCGUCGUUGUACUCGUGCGAGUAGUCCACGAUCGCUACAACACGCUAAGCAAUGGAGGUGACCCUUGAGGGAAGCAAUUCUGCAGAGACUCCUCCACCCUGGGAUGGCGUCGCCAGAUGACACCGUUUCGUUACAGGGAAAUGGGCUAUUUGGUGGAACGACCACAUCUU